UACAGAGGUCCCAAGCGUUGUCCGGAUUCACUGGGCGUAAAGGGUGCGUAGGCGGCCGGGUAAGUCUGAUGUGAAAUCUCACAGCUUAACUGUGAAACUGCAUUGGAUACUAUCCGGCUCGAGGAAUGGAGGGGAGACUGGAAUACUUGGUGUAGCAGUGAAAUGCGUAGAUAUCAAGUGGAACACCAGUGGCGAAGGCGAGUCUCUGGACAUUUCCUGACGCUGAGGCACGAAAGCCAGGGGAGCAAACGGG
rnacentral:rRNA from 1 species